ACGAGUAUGCUGAAAUUGGUAGCCAGGUGAAUCUUAGGAAUUCAUGAUAUAAUCAUAAGAGUUCAAGUCUCUUUACUCGUA
rnacentral:tRNA from 1 species